UCCUGAAGGACCGGUACAUUUCAUCCAGAAAGCCAGCAGCGACAGCUUCUUGUGGAACUCUGGGAUUGCUGCAGGAGAAAACAAGAUGAACCAUGAAACACAGCUGUGCUGGGAGCACUGUCACCCCAAAUAGAAAAGGAAUAUGUGAGAAAAUGUGCUCCUGAUCCAGUUCUGGGCACUGAUGUCUCAUCCUUUUAAAUACCGUGAAAUAUGAGGGGAAAUACUAGGGAAUAAAAAUGGUCUGCAUGAGGCUGGCCCUUGUCCUAGCGUUGCUCUGUGGCCUUGGCUCCGAUCACCUACCCCACUGCCUGCAUUUGCUUGGUGUUUUCCCCUGGGCUUGGUAUUUUCUCCCUGCUGCUGACACCUGCAUUUUCUUCAGCAGUCCACUUCAGUAUCAUUCAUACAGAAUCUGGACAAAGCUCAAGCCUGCCUCCCCCAGCUGCAUAUUUACAGCAUGUUCUUGUAUUUAAGCCAAAACCACCCUUUUUCUCAUGCUUGUGGGUCAGCAGCGUGUCCAGCUCAGCAGUAAGGGUACUGGAAUCAGGAUUGCUCUGUACUGCUUCAGUGGGCUUUUUGGGGGAAAAAAAAUAAAAAUAGCUAAUUAUAUCUAAGGUUGAAGAGUCAAAUAAUUGUAAAGAGAAGUUGUGAUACGUUUUGAUUCACCAACAAAACCCUGAUGCCCUCACUUGCUAGAGCGUCUUGCUGGAGGUUUAAGAUCACAUUUAUUGUGCUUAGGUUCUGAAGAACCCUGCUAAAAGGCUGUGCUAGUUAGUCUCGAGUAUGAAUGGAUGAUUUUGAUCUCCCAGAGGGACUGCUAUGUGCUUCCUUUGCUGUGGUGUGGACUUUGCGUGCGGAUGAUUUAGAGCAGAUUCUUCUCCCCCUCAUGCUGCAGAAAUGGUUUUGCUUUUGAGGCUUUUGAGCCCUGGGCUGGGUCAGCCAGUGGGGCCACGGGCUCCUCCUUUACUACUGAAAACCUGAGAUACCUGAACUGGGGAGCAACCUCCUGGCCAGGACCAUCCCCUGGUGAAGCCAGCAGAGGUUCCUUGCCCAGAGCAGCGCCUGCCCCUGCCUU